rnacentral:rRNA from 1 species
CGUAGGGUGCGUAGCGUUAAUCGGAAUUACUGGGCGUAAAGUGUGCGCAGGCGGCCGAGCAAGUCGAGUGUGAAAGCCCCGAGCUUAACUUGGGAACUGCGCUCGAAACUACUUGGCUAGAGUGUGGCAGAGGGAGGUGGAAUUCCACGUGUAGCGGUGAAAUGCGUAGAGAUGUGGAGGAACACCGAUGGCGAAGGCAGCCUCCUGGGCCAACACUGACGCUCAUGCACGAAAGCGUGGGGAGCAAACAGGAUUAGAUACCCUGGUAGUCCACGCCCUAAACGAUGAUGACUAGUUGUUGGAGGAGUUAAAUCCUUUAGUAACGCAGCUAACGCGUGAAGUCAUCCGCCUGGGGAGUACGGUCGCAAGAUUA